UCAGAGAAAGAUCUGAUUUUUAAAAUCAUAAGAUUUGACUCUUCUCAAUCAAUUCCCUUUAGGCUUUCAUCCUUGAGGGAGUAGGGAGGGGAGAGACUUGGAAUGCUGAAUGGGCUUGAAAAAAACGGUGGUGCUGUUCUCAUGCUAGCACAUCCAUGAAAUGUCCAUUUUUAUGAAAGAAUGGGGUAGAAGGUAAUAGCUAUCUUUCAACAAGACUGGUAUUUUUUGAUAUUUAAACUGUGUCUUCACUUACAGUAGACAAAUAUUUUUUCAAUGCAUCUUGUACUUACUAUUAAUCGUGUACAUACCAUUAAAUGGCACACAAUUGCUUACACACACACACACACACACAGCUGAAGCCUAUGGAAUUUUAACACCAAUUCAAAGCAGGUAUAGCAUGGAACAUGGCUGCCAAUAAACUUGUAUCUCUAUUCCAAAUUCUCUCAAAUUCUACUGCAGAUUAGGUCAUUAAAGUGUGGCUGUGCAUUGUGUGUGUUUAUCACAGACAUAUAACCCAAGCACUAGGAACAAGGCAGUGAUUUUCUUUUUCCUUCAAGGAAGGCAUUUAACCAAUUUGAUCAUUUUUUACUUGACUUUAUACACCUGAAUUUGUAAAGUUGAACUGUGCACCUGAGUUCCCCACCCCACAGUAGCCUCUAAGCAGCUGCAGGACUGCAGGGUGCUUGCUGCGGCAUCCUUUGCCGCAGAGGAGCGUGAUGGUGUAUACUGAAGCCCACCAGAACCAAGCAGCUGGAAAAAAAGAGAUGUACAUUGGCCAUCUUGUUUACAACUCUCAUGGAUAGCCAAGACUUCAGUUUCCAAAUGUGAAAAUGAAUGUUUCUUUAAAAAUCUAUCUUCCUACCGUGUUUGCUGUCUCAUUGAUUUUGCUUGUAUCAUUGGCAAAAAGUAGUAUUAAUAAAAGAUGUAAUACAUCUUUCAGGACCUGAAUUCAUGCAAAGCACAGUAUGCUUAGUGCAGCAAUUACAAGAAGGAUAACAUUUACAUUUUUUUCUAUUACUUUUAAAGUAAUUUUGCGUUUACUAUUCUGGUUCUUAAAUCACUGUGAAAUUUCCCACACAAGAUACAGACUCCUAAAACAUAGCAAACAAAUUAAAAAAAAUACAUAUACAAUGUUUUAGAUCCAACAGAGAAACAUCAAUGAUCAAUUAUUGAUAUAUUUUGAUCCUGUUUCAUUCAAUACAGAAUUUCCCAUGGGAGAGUUCUUCACUAUGUUUUUGCAGCUAAGGUCUAGAUUCCUUUUCUUUCAUUUGUCUUUGAAGUUUAUUUUUAAAAAGGGUUUUGGCUUUUGUUAUUCACUUGUUUGGAUCAAAGGGAUUUUAUUUGUGAAAUCUAUAAGAAAACAAAGACAGGCUUUAUGAGCAGGUGCUGAACGAACAUUUUGGAAUUGCAAAGGAGGAUUAAGAACUGAAUUGGAGCACAUGAGAAUCCCCAGGUAAUGAAACAAAAUCACACACACACACACACACACACACACACACACACACACACACACACGACAGGUUCGUUUAGUGUCACAUUCCUGCAUUCAUAAGCAGGUUUCCAGUGGAACCUAGCUUCAGCAAUGAGCAACAAAAAGACUUUCCCACCAUGUUACAAUCUUUCUAAGUAAUCAAGCUUUUCAGAAAUGGCUUUGCAGAUUCUGUCCAGAUGAGUCCCAGAUGGCCCUGGCUUGUAUCCAGUUGACUAAAAGCCAACCAACACAGAGACAACAUUGAAUCAAUGAACAAGGCCUAGCAUUGCCUGUCGCUGACUUCUCUUAAUCCAAGAAAAUAAAUGUCUGGCUUUACAUCAUUGGAUAUGGUUUUAGGAAAACCGCCAAGAGCUUUUAAGCUCUCUCGAAUCAUGCUGGCUCAAGUUAAGCAGCCAUGAUGUGACCUGCAUUUUUCAUUACUUGGUAGUAUUCAUCUUCGUACUUUUCUGCCAAGGGUGUCACUGAUGGCUUCUAGGAAGGCAAACCCCACAUUUCCUUGCACAUCUAUCCCAAUUCUGUGUUUUGAAGAAUUUUCUAAUCCUUUCAUGUGUCAAAGAAGUUACUGGAUAAAAUGUGAGCAUACAAUUCAAAGUGAACAUUGGACACACGAUGAUAAAGCUUACUGUGGAAAUCCUGCUGGGACGCUUCGACUGAUUUCUACGGAAGCUCAUGCUUACUUGGAACUUGGGAAUUACUUCAUUUCUCUCAUGUUUCUGUUAUGACUUUGAGGAAUUGGUCCCAAAAAAGAUAUUUAGAAUAUCUUGUUAAAAACCUCUUCCAAACAGGAGGAAAGACAGUUUUUAGUUGGGUGAAGUUUUACUAGCUUAGACGAUCGAGAGAGGAUGGGUAAAGAACUAAAAAAAAAUGGAUGAAGAAGAAAAUAAUGAAACUGUUAAUUGGCACUGAUAGUGAAGAGUAUAGGCAAAUGAAAAAGAAAUGAAACAAAGUUCUCAGACAAAAAGCAGGGCAUCCCAGGGCAGCCUGUGACUUGGUAUGAGCCUUGAACCUACUUGUCAGGUUAUUCUUUUAGAAAGUCUUUUCAUUUACUUUAAUGUUUCCUCCCUUCAGCUCAGUGACUCUGUAAAAUGCAAGGUGACCUCUGUGUUCUAAGAAAGAACGUUUUGUCAAGGGAAGAUGCUGUUCUCAGGGCACAGUGCUUCUGGCCAAGUUUUCUUCAGACUGAAAUACAUCUGCAGCAAUGGUAAAGUAGAUGUCAUUUUCUACCUGCUAGUCCCUGCUCUCUUGGGAUCAUUGUCUAUCAUACAUUUUCAAUAGGGAUUCUGCUGGGAAGGAAGUAAAAUUUAUCAUUUAUUCCUGGGACUGAAGCCCCCUUCACUAUUCACAGUCUCUUGCUGGUAAUGUCUACUUCCUUCUCAGUGGGAUCCCAUUUCUUCCUUGUGUGGUGUUUGUCAGAAUUCAGAAUGGCAAACACACACCACACAUCUAUGAGAGCAGCCUUUAUAAAUAAUUACCACAGGGAUGGAAAUCCCAGUCAUGGAAGCGACUUCUAGAGUAUAGCUACUUGGUUCUAUUGUUGAGCAAUUUUUAAAGUAGUAUUUGUUUAUCAUAUGUUAGCAUACCAUUAUCCAAAGCAGCAAUAGUUAAUUUGUGUAUCUGAAGCCUUACUGAAAGACUCAUACACUACAAAGUUGGUGAAGGAUGAGGCAAACAAACACUCAGACUGUAAAGUCAUAAGAAAGCAUGGGGAAAAUAUUGCAAUCCCUCCAUUAUUCUUUGCAUUGCUUUCUACUCCAAACCCCAUGUGUGCUCUCUUUCUCUGUGUCUCUCCCUGUGUCUGUCUCCGUGUCUCUGUCUCUCUCAGCUAGAGUCCAUUUCAUCCUGUCUUUACUUGCUUGCAUGUAGAACCAUCAAUGGAGACGUGGGUAGUCCCUCAGGGGCAUCCUGCAAGAAACCUAAUUCCCUCCUUCAGUAGCUCUCAGCUGGAGUGGGACUUUAUGAUCCCCUUCCCCAUUUACAUGUAGGCUUUGGGUGGCUCAAUUUUGUGCAGGUCACAGUUGCUAUGAGCUCAUGUGUGCAAUGGAAAACGCCAUUGGUCAAUUGUUACAGUUUUGCAGCACUCUCCUCCAACAAAACAACCAUUACCUUUACCGUCUUCAUCAGAUUGGCUGUGCUGGUUUGUAAGAGUUGGUCACAUCCACCUUGUGGACUGUUGACCUUCCCUAACAGAAGAGUGGAGAGAGUCAUUGAGUCCUCACCUGAGAGAGUGUCUAACCACUAGUCCUAGCCACUUGAACUGAACUUGGUACUGAUUGCACAUGGCCUGGAGGGGGUGGCGUCAGGGAGGCACUAGACUAUAUAGAUGGGAGAAGGCUAAAGAAAGGGGCUCCAUCUAUGAUGGAAUUGGGGACCCAUCAUUAAUAUUUGUUGAAGACUUUCCAAUAUGGCUGCUAGGGUCAUCCAUGUUCUAUUCUUGAUAGAGUAUUAUUUACAUAGGUAUUAUUUACAUCUCUGGUAGGACUACAGAUUUGAGAAAUGGUUUCUUUGUAUGAGACAUAAUAGCAUUCAGAAUUUUGAGAUGGGUAGGUCACAAGUCUGAUGCCAUCCUGAGCUAUAUAUCUCAAAAAGGACCAGUCACACCUCAGGUAUGUACUCCAAAGAAACGAAAUAAAAUUUGAGCUCAUGCAAAAUUGUGUCCAUGUAUCUUUAAAUCAGAUGUCUUUAUAAUAAGUGGGUAAUUUCUGUGGCACAUAUUCUUUAUCUCAAUAAGGCUAUUAAUUUAUUAGCAAACACAUUCAGAUCCAAACUUAACCAAUGAAGAAAUGAGUACAGCAGAGCCACCAGAGAGUGCUUCCAGUGAACAAUGAGGGGAGCUUGGUUCACUGAAAGCUUAAGCAGGGCUGGAUUUAAGAUUAGGAAAAGCAAAGCAUGAGAAGGGGGAAACUCAAUGCUUACAGCUGUGGAGGAUGGAGAUAAGAUGAGGGGGACAGAAGGAAAGUCAGAUUGACUGGUUCUGAGUCUUAAGUUCCUUGUCCUAAGCCUUAGCACAGGCAACAUGUGUCCUGAUACCCACCCUCUGCCUCACUUACCCAGACUUCAUCCGUGGCUUGGUUGUGGGGUGAGAUUUUCAUUCCUUGAUGAAAUCUUCAUUCGGUGAAGGAUGAAGUGGACCACACCAGGAUCUUGCUUGUCUCUCAGUGCAGUGAUUCAGAGUUUGCCUUUACACAAUCUCAGGAGACUUCUUAGUGGGGCUUGUUUCUAAUUUCCAGUUCAGAUUGUGCCUUGGAAGACCUCUGCUGCAUUUCUUGUUCAGUUUCAAUCCUUAUAAUCCCUCUUAAGCACAGCACCUCACCCACAGCCUUACUGAUCUCCAUAUCAAGCAGGGCAGCACCUCCUUGACUUCCUGGCUGGGGAGUCUAGUAGAGAACUGGAAGAUCCUACAUAGGACUCCAUCCACCUUGGCACACUAACGAGCCCCGGGUCCAGAUGAUCAGAUGAGAUAUUGACUCACCCUCAAUUCCUGUGUAUAACCGAUCUUAUAACGUGUGACGCUCCAACGCAUGAAGUGUGGCAGAAUGAGAAUCGUAGCGGAAGGAGGAGCAGGCUGUACCCUGGAACAUGAGGGUUUCUCUGUGUAGCCCUGGCAGUCCUGGACCUCACUCUG